GUCAAUAAGUCUUCCGGGAGAUCGGGGACCAGGAAUCAAUAGUGACAUCAUGAGAUAAGGCUCUUUCAUGCAUUGCCAAGGUGGUAAGUUAUAUGCCAUUAAGAUCACGGGCCAAAUACUAUAAGAGUUGCUCAUGUUACCAAAAUUAUUAAAUCCAUCAGUGGCUAGUCCGAGCCGUACAUUUUGAGGAUCUUGAGCAAACAAGGGGUACUGUUUAUCAAGAUACUUCCAAACUUCAGAAUCUGCAGGAUGAAUCAACGUAUCAUCUUUCUCAAUUUUACGGUCUUUAUGCCAUCUCAUAUCAGAGGAUGUCUUCCUCGACAAAUAUAACCUCUGUAAUCUUGGCUUAACAGGAAAAUAACGCAAAAUUUAGUGAGGAAUUUUCUUUCCUUUACAAUCAUUUACUUUCCAUCUAGACUCUUUGCAGAUGGGACAAUCAUUUAAGCUUUUAUAUUCUUUCCAGAAGAGAACACAAUCAUUUUU
rnacentral:lncRNA from 1 species